CUGUAACUUGUAUUUUCAGAAACUUCACUCUUUAGUCUUUUCUGUACUGUCAAGGCAAUUUGUAUAUAGUUUAAAGCAUUUAGAUCUCCAUAUGUUUUCAUAGUCUCAUUGAUUCUUCUUGUGCAGAUUUCCUGGUUGAUGCUCUAGACUAUGCCAUGUCUAAGUUGUGAGAAAGUGAUGAUGUUUAAGUCCUCAGGAGAUCAACCUAAAAAAAGCAGCUUAUUUUCAGAAGUGAAAAGAAUUUAUACCAAAAAACUCCAGACUGACUUCUUUUCCUACUUGCUCUAGAUUAUGCCAUGUCUAAGUUGUGAGAAAGUGAUGAUGUUUAAGUCCUCAGGAGAUCAACCUAAAAAAAGCAGCUUAUUUUCAGAACUCCAGACUAACUUCUGGUCCUACUGAGAAAUAAUGGGGAAAGAAUGUGUUUUUAAAGAAUAAUGUGAGUUCUGUACAAUUACAGUAGUUUAUGGCAUGAUUCAUAUUAGAACAGAUUAUUUA
rnacentral:lncRNA from 1 species